AUCUGUGAUGACAAGCUGUCGCCCCAAACGGAGUCCAAAUGACGAUUCGAUUUUAUGCCAAACACACUGAAAAUUCUGAGA
rnacentral:snoRNA from 1 species